AUUGCACAAUGGGGGAAACCCUGAUGCAGCAACGCCGCGGGAGUGAUGACGGCCUUCGGGUUGUAAAGCUCUGUCUUCAGGGACGAUAAUGACGGUACCUGAGGAGGAAGCCACGGCUAACUACGUGCCAGCAGCCGCGGUAAUACGUAGGUGGCAAGCGUUGUCCGGAUUUACUGGGCGUAAAGGGAGCGUAGGCGGACUUUUAAGUGAGAUGUGAAAUACCCGGGCUCAACCUGGGUGCUGCAUUUCAAACUGGAAGUCUAGAGUGCAGGAGAGGAGAGUGGAAUUCCGAGUGUAGCGGUGAAAUGCGUAGAGAUUAGGAAGAACACCAGUGGCGAAGGCGACUCGCUGGACUGUACCUGACGCUGAGGCUCGAAAGCGUGGGGAGCAAACA
rnacentral:rRNA from 1 species